rnacentral:tRNA from 1 species
AGAGAUAUAGUUUAGUGGUAGAGCUCUUGCCUAGCAUGUGCAAGAACCUGGGUUCAAUCCCCAGUACCGCAA